GACUCUUCAUCCUUUCCUUAUGAAGACCCGGGGGAUUGCUUACUUAGCAUACACCGGAGGCAAUGGCUAGGGUGAGCAGCCACCGCAGCCAGAAAACCCCAGUCGAGAGCACAGGCAAUUACCCUCCACACGCAGAGGCUCCGGAGCUGAAUCCUGCUGAAUAGAGAACCCCUCUGGCUGAGCGAGCCGUGUGUGCCCGGGAAGAGCAGGCACUUGCUCUCCGCUGAAGAGCAAUGCAAACACACUGGUGAGGAGAACUGCUUCCAGGUCUGGGUGGCCAUGAACCUGAGUGGAGCCUGAACGCCGUUAAAGCCACACUGACUAACAAAACUUUAAAAAUAUGACUACAGUCAGGAUUUUAACUCCACAAUGCUGCUAUGCCGGGAUGUGACAGGCUUCCUACCCAGGUCUGGAAGGUGGUUGAUGAUGUUAGGAGCAAAUAUAAACCCAGAUGAAGAGCGGCAUAAGCAAUGGAGGGACCAACCCCAGAGCCUGUCUACGUUGAUGUGGACAAGGGACUGACCUUAGCAUGUAUUGUCUUCCUCUGCCUCUUCUUGAUUGUGAUGAUUAUUCGCUGUGCCAAAGUCAUCAUGGACCCUUACAGUGCCAUCCCUACAUCCACAUGGGAGGAGCAGCAUCUCGAUGACUGAAAGGACUACACUAGACAGAGCCAUAAAAUGCUGCCAUCCAGGAGGUCUUUUCCUACCGGGAAGGCCGACACACAAACAGCCAUUUUCAGAUAUGCAGGGUAACGGCGAUAUAUCCAAGAGCACAUAGUGUAAAUGAUUCUUGCUCAACAGAUCAGGAUAUCAGCAAGCCAUUCUGGCAGCACAGUUUAAUACUAUGCAGCAACCCUUAUUUUACUGAAAUCGGUUAUCAUUGUAACUCAAGUAGCACAAGACUCUCCAGAGUUUUCCUAAUAUAACUCUUGGUCUCACACAGUUUGUCCUCCCCUCACUAUCUCCCACAAAUCCAGGGUAACCAUCAGAAUUUGGAAAAGCAACAAGAACAUUUUGUCUUUCCUGGAAAUAGAUUGCUUCAAAUAUCUUCCUCAGCUGCUAUAUUUGUUUCAAAAAAGGCUCAAAUUUUAUAAUUUUUUUUAUCACAGAGCAUCACUAAGUAGAAGCGCUAAAGCACCUCUGGUUACAUCGGGUUAUACGAACAGAUUUAUUCCAAACUUCCUUGAUUCUGCACAUAUGGUUCCUACCCCACUGGAGUCAUAUUUCCAGCAAUCAGAACACAGAAGAACUCAGAUUACAGGUCCCAAAGGGGUCAUGGACCACUGUUGACCCUGUAGCUCCAUUUUGCUCUGUCCUACUCAAGCAACCACUACACAUUUUAUCAUCUGCCACAGGCUCAUGGAUUAGCCAGAUGAGCUUCGUAGCCACCAGAACUACAUCGAGCUUACUGUGAUUUUUCAAAGAAUGAUUCCACAUGCAACUUCAUCCAUCUUUCAUUUCAGGUGCACCUCAGUGGGAUGACACACAAAUAGAAUGACAAAGACAAUAAGGAAGGAGACAUUGUUCCAAGCUUGUCACUGAGCCAGAGUCCUCAGCAUAGCAGCUACAGUAACAUACAAUAAUACGCAUUCUACCUCGGAGAAAUUCAGCACCUUUAAAAGAAGAAUUUUUCCACAAAAUUGUAAGGUGAAUAGCUGUACAUUUCCUUCUCCCAACUCAUUAAGACAGCCAUUAUGCAAGAAGGCAUAAAUGAACAGGGAAGCUUUAGAAAUUUACUAUUUACCUUUGGAAGAGUGGGGAUUAAGGGGUUCUGGCAUCCUCUAUCUCCCAAAUUUCAAGCUUUGCUCAUAGUGGCCUUUUUUAGUGACAUGUUUGGUUUAAGGGAUUGUAAGGAGUUGCUGAAACAAUACUGAGUAGGUUCUGCAACCACAACAAGCAUCAUAAGCAAGCAAGACUUGAAAGCACAGAUUUGCAAGUAGGACCUUUCACUAUUUCUCCUCUUCCCUACCAUCCUGACCUCUAGAUUGUUGCCAUGAGGCAACGCACAGCAGGUGAGAAAGAUGGAGCCAAAGGCUGGGGCAAGGAAUCAGGAUGUAGACUUUGAAGGUUACUAUUCUCAGCUCCAAUGAUCACACAAGUCACUUCUUUACGUGCCUCAGUCUACUUAUCAGUGAAAUGGGUACAGCAAUAUUAACCUGUCUCACACUGAAAACAAGUCUGUCUCAUAAUACCAGAAAGCACCUGGGGAGCCCUAGACAAGGAUACCGAAAAAAAAAUACACUAAUUUACAAUUCUUCCUUGUGAAGCUAAUGGGGAAGAUCUGCAUCUCAGUACAGAGUGAGGGCAUUUCUCCCCAGACAGAGGACUUGUCCAGAUCUCCGCUUACUCCCUCAUAAGUAUUUCAGCAUUUUGAGUCACACCAAAUGGCACCUGGCUUUGUUACAUAUUCCACUGAUUUCUGAGGACAGUCUGGAUGUGAGGUGCUCAGCACUGAUUACAGAGUUCCCAAAAUAGCAGGCUAUGAGGCACGUGGAGAUUUUUGCAUGAAUCUUUUUCACUGCACAAUUUUUGCUGAUCUCUGUUGUAGGAGACCCCAUUCAGGAGGCAAGAGAUUUGAGGAUUAGCUUUAAUUCUGCUAUUCUCUACCAAGAGACCUCCACUGCUUCAGUUACCCACUGCAGAUUGCUCAUCAGGCUGUUAUUUAACCUCAAUUUCUGCUAGCCAGUUAAUCACCAGUUACAGGACCUUUUCAAGUGUGAAUGUUAAUGUUCACCAUACUUUGAGCAAAUGCAUUGGUCUCUUUUCUUCAUGAUUGCAUCUAUCUGUACUAUAGGAAUGGAGGCCUUGGCUAAAAGGAGAUUGCUUCUCUUCCCUAGGAUAAAGUUUCAAACCCAUUUUUUUGUUGGUAAAUCUCAUAUCCCACCUUUAUACUAGUGGAGUUACUUAUAGAAUAAACAAACAAAACCCAAAAUAAAUCUAUUUCCAGGUUAGAGGUGCUUUCAGUUUGCCAAUCACUCAGCUGUGCUCACAGCUGAUGCAGAGCAAGAGCAGAGCUUGUCAUCACUCCUCCCAGUGCUAAUGCUCCACUCAGUGUUUUUCUGCAUGCAGAACUCUUUGGCUUUGUCACACAUCACCGAUAAGCCCCCCCUGUUCAGCUUAGGACUUAUGCACAUGUUUAAGUUUAAGCUCCUGAGCUGGACUAUGCAGAGAGUGGGGUUGGUCACGUGCAGUGUCCUUGGCAGGGUAGGGACAGCAGAGCACAGCCCCUGCAGGAGCAAAGCCUGCGUGAGAGCAAAGGGUUACAAACGCUGGGGAAGCAAAUUAACAAGUUUGCUUUGCAAAAGUGUUUGCCGCAUCUUUUUUCACUGUUUGCCCAGCUGUACAAGCCAUUUUAUGGAUUUUCCUGAAGAUCCUAAAGGAAAGAUCCCUAUGGGUAGCUCUUUUUUCUAAUAAAAAGGUACUUAUCUUCCUAGCAUAACCCGUCAAGUCCAUCCUGCUGACAAAAGAUCUCCAUAAGCAUCUACAUAUUCAUGUCCAAUUUUUUUACAUCACUGUGUAGAAGUCAACGCAAUUGUUUUUAUACAGCUAAUGUAAAUGCGUUCUGGUUUCUGCCUUCCCCCAGCGGUUACAAUCACACAACCUCACCACUCUGACCAAAAGCAAUACUGAACAUCGUGCCAAAAGCAGAAAUAUUAUCCUCCUUGCAUUCAGAGCCGGGGCUUGCCCACCUGAGGUGGGAAACUGCAGCUCCUGCCCGACACCCACAAAGCCACCCUUGUGGCCAGUGGAAGGUCUGUCCCAGCAGGGGCUGCGUCGCUGGGCUUGGCAGUCAUUUCAGCUGCAUGCAACAAGUGCCUCUGCUAACUUUGGUUCUUUUUUAAUCAUUACGCCAUACUACCAGCAACUGCACUCAGAGGAAAUAAUUCAAACUUGUUGCAAAUGUAUUUAUCCAAGGCAAUA